GACUUACUCCUUCCGUCCGGAAAUACUUGUCCUAGAAAUAGAUGUAUCUAGACUUAUUUUAGUUAUAGAUAUAUUCAUUUUGUACAUUUCUAGGACAAGUAUUUCCAGACGUAGGGAGUACUAU
rfam:Hordeum vulgare subsp. vulgare, WGS project CAJW01000000 data, contig: morex_contig_137418